rnacentral:hammerhead_ribozyme from 1 species
CUGCUGAUGAGUCCCAAAUAGGACGAAACAGCUGUCCAG